GAAGCCCCUGAGAGCCACGGCCACCACCUCCCAGCCUGUCCUCAGCAUCCAGCAGAUCGAAACCAUCUUCUACAAGAUCCAGGAUCUCUACGAGAUCCACAAGGAAAUGUACGACAACCUCUGGCCACAUCUGCAGCAUUGGGAUAGCGAGGUGGUCCUGGGACAUCUUUUCCAGAAGCUGGCUACGCAACUGGGGGUUUACAAGGCUUUUGUGGACAACUAUAAAAUUGCACUAGAGACCGCUGAAAAAUGCAGCCAGGGUAACACCCAGUUCCAGAAAAUAUCAGAGGAGCUGAAAGUCAAAGGGACUCACAAUUUUGUCACCAUGGAAGGU